GACGAACGCUGGCGGCGUGCUUAACACAUGCAAGUCGAACGGAAAGGCCCUGCUUUUGUGGGGUGCUCGAGUGGCGAACGGGUGAGUAACACGUGAGUAACCUGCCCUUGACUUUGGGAUAACUUCAGGAAACUGGGGCUAAUACCGGAUAGGAGCUCCUGCUGCAUGGUGGGGGUUGGAAAGUUUCGGCGGUUGGGGAUGGACUCGCGGCUUAUCAGCUUGUUGGUGGGGUAGUGGCUUACCAAGGCUUUGACGGGUAGCCGGCCUGAGAGGGGGACCGGCCACAUUGGGCCUGAGAUACGGACCAGACGGCUACGGGAGGCAGCAGUGGGGAAUAUUGCACAAUGGGCGGAAGCCUGAUGCAGAAACGCCGCGUGCGGGAUGACGGCCUUCGGGUUGUAAACCGCUUUCGCCUGUGACGAAGCGUGAGUGACGGUAAUGGGUAAAGAAGCACCGGCUAACUACGUG
rnacentral:rRNA from 1 species